CCUACGGGAGGCAGCAGUGAGGAAUAUUGCUCAAUGGGCGCGAGCCUGACCCAGCCAAGUCGCGUGAAGGAUGACUGCCCUACGGGUUGUAAACUUCUUUUAUAAGGGAGUAAAGUGAGUCACGUGUGCCUUUUUGUAUUUACUUUAUGAAUAAGGAUCGGCUAACUCCGUGCCAGCCGCCGCGGUAAUACGGAGGAUCCGAUCGUUAUCCGGAUUUAUUGGGUUUAAAGGGAGCGUAGAUGGGUUGUUAAGUCAGUUGUGAAAGUUUGCGGCUCAACCGUAAAAUUGCAAUUGAUACUGGCAGUCUGGAGUACAGGUGAGGUAGGUGGAAUUCGUGGUGUAGCGGUGAAAUGCGUAGAUAUCACGAAGAACUCCGAUUGCGAAGGCAGCUUACUAAACUGCCACUGACAUUGAGGCGCGAAAGUGUGGGUAUCAAACAGGAUUAGAUACCCUAGUAGUC
rnacentral:rRNA from 1 species